AACGAACGCUGGCGGCGCGCCUAAUACAUGCAAGUCGAGCGAGAAGACGUAGCAAUACGUUUGUAAAGCGGCGAACGGGUGAGGAAUACAUGGGUAACCUACCCUCGAGUGGGGAAUAACUAGCCGAAAGGUUAGCUAAUACCGCGUACGCUCCUUGGACUUCGGUUCAGGGAGGAAAGCUAUACCGUGGGUAUCGCGCUCUUGGAUGGGCUCAUGUCCUAUCAGCUUGUUGGGAGGUAACGGCUCACCAAGGCUUCGACGGGUAGCUGGUCUGAGAGGACGAUCAGCCACACUGGCACUGCGACACGGGCCAGACUCCUACGGGAGGCAGCAGUAAGGAAUAUUGCGCAAUGGGCGAAAGCCUGACGCAGCGACGCCGCGUGGGGGAU
rnacentral:rRNA from 1 species